rnacentral:rRNA from 1 species
ACCUGCCCACUGAUUUAUUGAAUGGCCGCAGUAUUUUGACUGUGCAAAGGUAGCAUAAUCAUUAGUUUUUUAAUUAAAAGCUUGUAUGAAGGGUUGGACGAGGUAAAAUCUGUCUCUAUUUAAUUAAUUUUAGAAUUUAAUUUUUAAGUUAAAAAGCUUAAAUAAAUAUAAAAGACGAGAAGACCCUAUAGAUUUUUAUAUUUAUUAUAUGUAAUUUUAAUUAAGAAUAUUUAAUUUUUUAUUUAUAUAAAUAUUUUAUUGGGGUAAUAAAGAGAUUAAAAAAAUUCUUUUUAAUUUUUUAUACUAAUUAGUAAUUCUAUGAUCCAAUAUUUUUGAUUAAAAGAUUAAGUUACCUUAGGGAUAACAGCGUAAUUUUUUUUGAGAGUUCAUAUCGAUAAAAAAGUUUGCGACCUCGAUGUUGGAUUAAAAAUUAUUCUAGGUGCAGAAGUUUAGAAAUUUGGUCUGUUCGACCAUUAAAUUUUU